CUUCUACUCAUGUCUGUAGCCAUGAAGAGCUUUGAAAGUCAGGUCAUGGCUCACAUCGCGCAUGUGACAAAUACAUUUAUUUGAUUUGAUUCUUGGGUCUCACAGACACUAACCACAAGCUAUUUCCUUUAGUUCUGCGCUGAAUCACAUCAGAAAUGUUUCAUGGGUUGUCUUAUAUUGGCAUAUAGCUAAAGGGAAACUGUCGUUGAUCAGUCAUUGUUCUUCAUUGUGAAAGCAGACAGGUGAGUCCGGGUCAUUGUUCUUCAUUGUGAAAGCAGACAGUAUGGAGGCGAUUCAAGAAUGGGUCAAACAAUCAAAGGGUAUUGUGUCGAAUGUGGCAUGUAGCUUCUGCCUUGUGGUCUUGGAGAAGAUUCUGGAGCUGGAGGUUCGGUGUCCCUGCAAUUAUAUAUAUAAAAUGUUCUUUAUGAUUGCAUUCUUUUUCAUUCCUGCCAUUUUAGCAUUCUUGCUGAUGCUACAAGUUCAAGAAUCUAGGGGCAACAUAGUAAAACGGAAGGCUUACUUGUCAAGCCUCAUCCCUUCGUUGGUGUGGUGGAUCGUACUGUUCUUUGAUGGCAGAUACGUUGCUUGUGCCAUGACAAAAUUAAAUGAAACAGGGGUCAUUCAUAAAGACGAUUUGUCUGUGAAAAUGUGUGAGAAAGCAGGGCAAGAUCAACAUCAGAAUAUCCUGUUUUGGGAAAUCUGUUCUCAGGGCAUUGGUAUGGCUCUGCUCUUGGCCGCCUGUGGGGCAGUUAUAGUAUCCAUAUGCAACAACUACACCUGGGAUUUAGGAGAAGUCAGUGAUGAAGUUACAGAAAGAAGAAGAGACAUCAGAAGCAGUGUAAUAGCAGGAGAAGAAGAAGGACUAGGAAGAAGAGGAGGAGAAGGACUAGGAGGAAGAGGAGGAGAAGGACUAGGAGGAAGAGGAGGAGAAGGACUAGGAGGAAGAGGAGGAGAAGGACUAGGACGAAGAGGAGGAGAAGGACUAGGAGGAAGAGGUGGAGGAGGACUAGGAGGAAGAGGAGGAGAAGGACUAGGAGGAAGAGGAGGAGAAGGACUAGGAGGAAGAGGAGGAAAAGGAACAGAAGCAGCACAUGCAUCAGGAGCAGGAGCAGGAGCAGAAGAAGAAGCAGUACAGGCAUCAGAAGCAGGACGAGGAGGAGGAGGAGCAGGAGCAGGAGGAGUACAGGCAUUAGAAGCUGGUGGAGGAGGAGGAGGAGGAGAAGGAGGAGUACAGGCAUUAGAAGAUGGUGGAGGAGGAGGAGGAGGAGGAGAAGGAGGAGUACAGGCAUUAGAAGCAGGAGGAGGAGGAGCAGGUGCAGAAGCAGUACAGGCAUCAGGAGCAGGAGAAGGAGCAGGAGAAUCAGAAGCAGAAGGAGCAGAUGGAAAAGGAGCAGAAGAAGUAGAUGCUUUGCUUCCAGAAAGUUGAAGGCCCCCCCAUGAAGUUAUGAAUUAAAAAGGAUUCAGGUUAGGUUUAGGGUUUAGGGUGGUACGCAGGCCCAGAAAUUGAUCAAAAUGUGCUGUAUAAAAUUACAUUGGUAAAAAUUGUAUUUUUUUUUUUCUUCUUCACACAAUCAAUAAGUAACCAAUUUAUAAUGUUUUUAUUUAUGAGUGUGGAGUUUAAGGAGUGUUUUCUCUGACACAGAUUAAGCCUAGUCCUGGACUAAAAAAUAAGUUUAUUAGCGAGUCUCCAUUGAAAUGCUUUUUAGUCCAGGAUUAAGGAGUAUUCGUGUCCACAAAAGUGACCCUAAGGCUGAGUUUGCAAAGGAAGACCAACUCUGAUCUUUUGACAAUUAUUUGUUCUAUUUAAUACAGUACAGUGCCUUGCGAAAGUAUUCGGCCCCCUUGAACUUUGCAACCUUUUGCCACAUUUCAGGCUUCAAACAUAAAGAUAUAAAACUGUAUUUUUUUGUGAAGAAUCAACAACAAGUGGGACACAAUCAUGAAGUGGAACGACAUUUAUUGGAUAUUUCAAACUUUUUUAACAAAUCAAAAACUGAAAAAUUGGGCGUGUAAAAUUAUUCAGCCCCCUUUACUUUCAGUGCAGCAAACUCUCUCCAGAAGUUCAGUGAGGAUCUCUGAAUGAUCCAAUGUUGACCUAAAUGACUAAUGAUGAUAAAUACAAUCCACCUGUGUGUAAUCAAGUCUCCGUAUAAAUGCACCUGCACUGUGAUAGUCUCAGAGGUCCGUUAAAAGCGCAGAGAGCAUCAUGAAGAACAAGGAACACACCAGGCAGGUCCGAGAUACUGUUGUGAAGAAUUUUAAACCCGGAUUUUGAUACAAAAAGAUUUCCCAAGCUUUAAACAUCCCAAGGAGCACUGUGCAAGCGAUAAUAUUAAAAUGGAAGGAGUAUCAGACCACUGCAAAUCUACCAAGUCCUGGCCGUCCCUCUAAACUUUCAGCUCAUACAAGGAGAAGACUGAUCAGAGAUGCAGCCAAGAGGCCCAUGAUCACUCUGGAUGAACUGCAGAGAUCUACAGCUGAUGUGGGAGACUCUGUCCAUAGGACAACAAUCAGUCGUAUAUUGCACAAAUCUGGCCUUUAUGGAAGAGUGGCAAGAAGAAAGCCAUUUCUUAAAGAUAUCCAUAAAAAGUGUUGUUUAAAGUUUGCCACAAGCCACCUGGGAGACACACCAAACAUGUGGAAGAAGGUGCUCUGGUCAGAUGAAACCAAAAUUGAACUUUUUGGCAACAAUGCAAAACGUUAUGUUUGGCGUAAAAGCAACACAGCUCAUCACAAUGAACACACCAUCCCCACUGUCAAACAUGGUGGUGGCAGCAUCAUGGGUUGGGCCUGCUUUUCUUCAGCAGGGACAGGGAAGAUGGUUAAAAUUGAUGGGAAGAUUACAUUUACAUUACAUUUAAGUCAUUUAGCAGACGCUCUUAUCCAGAGCGACUUAUGGAUGGAGCCAAAUACAGGACCAUUCUGGAAGAAAACCUGAUGGAGUCUGCAAAAGACCUGAGACUGGGACGGAGAUUUGUCUUCCAACAAGACAAUGAUCCAAAACAUAAAGCAAAAUCUACAAUGGAAUGGUUCAAAAAUAAACAUAUCCAGGUGUUAGAAUGGCCAAGUCAAAGUCCAGACCUGAAUCCAAUCGAGAAUCUGUGGAAUUGACUGAAAACUGCUGUUCACAAAUGCUCUCCAUCCAACCUCACUGAGCUUGAGCUGUUUUGCAAGGAGGAAUUUGAAAAAAAUUCAGUCUCUUGAUGUGCAAAACUGAUAGAGACAUAUCCCAAGCGACUUACAGCUGUAAUCGCAAGGCACUGUACAUACAGUAUCUGAUGGUUUUUUCCAGUGAGUAAAAAAAAAAACAUAAAACACAUUGAAUCUGAUCUUUUGAGUUCUGGUUUGUACCACAUUUGUAUGUGGUUCCCAAUACAUUCUGAUCCAUCAUGCAACAGUCUGGACGCUGAUUUCUUCCACAUGACCUGCUGAAACUGAACGUUUAAAGGUUAAAUAUACUAAAUGUUAAAGUUUGGAAACAGGGGGUAAUAUACCAUGGAAGAUAUUCAAGGGUCAGUAGAGGAAUGCAGUAAAUUGUUAACAGUUUUAUAAUGUUGUUGAGCUUAGAGGAACAAGACCUUAGGGGCCCAUUGGAAGGUAAUAAUGAAAUGUUAUAAUGUUGUUUAGCUUAGAGGAACAAGACCUUAGGGGCCCAUUGGAGGGUAAUAAUGAAAUGUUAUAAUGUUGUUUAGCUUAGAGGAACAAGACCUUAGGGGCCCAUUGGAGGGUAUUAAUGAAAUGUUAUAAUGUUGUUUGCUUUAAGGUAUGAUGCAUAUAGACUAUAUUUGUUAAGCUUAGAGGAACCUUAAACCUUGGGGUCCAUAUGAGGUUGAUAAUGAAAUGUUGUAAUGAGGAAAUGUUUACGUUGGUGGAUGUUUAAGAUGUAAUUGGGGGGUAAUACGUUUGGUUGGAGUAAGAUUAGAAUUGAGUGGAGUAAGGGAAGGUUGAUGAUUAAAAAUUACUGUUUUAAAAGUUAAAGGUAAUUAAGUAUGUUAAGGGAGUUAGUUGGAUUUGGAAAUCCCUAAAUCGGUUAGGGAGACCGGUCAGGUGAGAAAAGGGUGGGAGUCAAGGGGGAUGAAAAAACACCUUUUUGAACGUUGGCCGCAUUAGGUGUUAAACACUGGAUGCAUCAUUGGGGUAGGUGUUAGCCACAGUGUGUUAGCCACAGUGUGUUAGCCACAGUGUGUUAGCCACAGUGUGUUAGCCACAGUGUGUUAGCAGAAAUAAAAAUGGAGGGUAUAAAGGAGGCAUGAUUUUGGAGAAGGGAGAACUCCCUCUCUUUCAGCUACAACAACCUGUCGACUGCUGGAAGAAGAUUUUUGCUGUAGCUUUUUAGCUUAAUUAAAAUAUAUUUCGAGUUUUAUUAUAAUCUUAUUUUAGAUUUUUAUUAUACUCAGUUAAAGUAACAUUUUUAGGAGGAAUCCUUAAGGUUACCUCAUUGAUAGCAGUGUGUUAAAGUAGCUGUUCAAGUAUUCAGCCGCUAUCGAAGGGACUGAUCAUUCUGAAGAGGGAGACAAAAAAAAACUGUUUAUAAAGUUGUAGAAGGUAUGAAAUUGUUUUUCUUUUUCAUUGAAUAUUGUGCUUCACCUAAAAUUGUAACAGUCAAAAGAUAUUGUAUUGGCAUCCCAAUAAGGGUUUAGUUAAGGGUGCUGCAGGAGUCCGUCAGUUUAAUUUGCUGUUGAUGUUUGCCUGUCAUUGAUUGGUGAAAUUGAUUUGUGAUUGAUUGAUUGAUCUGGAUUUUUUUUUAUGAAUGUUUCUGGAAUUUUGAAUAAACUUGCUUUAUUGUU